GUUCAGGGACAACCCUGUGAUCAUGGUUUUGGUCACAUAGCUUCCAAGUGAGUGUUGUGCAAACAUUUGCUAGGAUCUCUCGGGGAGCCUGUUAGAAAAGAAACUCCUGAGCCUGCUCCAGAGCUUCUGUUCAGCAGGCCUGAGGUGGGACCAUACACCUGUCUUUUCAGCAAGCCCCCCCCCACCUCUGAGGAUGCACCCCAAAGCUAGAGAAUUCCUGCUCUGAGCCAUCUCUGAAAGCACCAAGAGCCAGGUCAGGAAGAUUCCUGCAGCUGCUGAGUUAGUACUUUUAAGAAAGUACUGGAUUCCCUCUCACAAUGGGACUUUGAUUUUUUUAAGAAAAAGGUUUCAUAAGUUUUCAAAUAACCUGGAGCAGUUGAGCAAACUUAAUGUGCAGCGUGGUCCCUGCUGGCUGGGUUUGAGGGGCUGGGUCUCUCUGAGUGGAUGCUGGUGAGGUGCAGAGGAAGAAGAAAAGGUGCCUGAGGGCCUGUGUGGAAGGCCUGUCACACAGCACAUCCUGGGAAAUCUGUCCAGGAAGCAGCCAGGCGGGCAUCAGCCAGGCGGGCAUCAGCAUCUUCACUGUGCAGAUGAGAAACUGAGGCCGCAGAGGUGAAGGGACAUGCCCAGGAUCACUAAGGCAAGACGGGGGAAGAGCAGAGAUCUUGGGCAUGAUCUCGGCUCACUGCAACCUCCACCUCCCAGGUUCAAGGGAUUCUCCUGCUUCAGCCUCCCAAGGAGCUGGGAUUACAGGUGCCCGCCACCACGCCCGGCUAAUUUUUGUAUGUUUAGUAGAGACAGGGUUUCACCAUGUUGGCCAGGCUGGUCUCGAAUUCCUGAUCUCAAGUGAUCCGCCUUGCUCUGUCCCUUAGGGACCUCAGCUUAGUGUUCCACACACUGGCAGAUCGCCUCGUUCUUCUCAGGGCUCAGUGUUUUCCUGAGUCUGAACCACGAUCUGGGUAGCCAUCCCCUGGCGAGGACCAUUCGGGGUUCCAGCAGUCACAUGCCACGGUAAACAAGCUUCGUAAACAUCCCACGACAAAGGUGGGAGAGAAUCCCAGUAGGGACAAUGACUACAGGUGGAAUUGCUGGGAAAAAGUAUGUCGGUUUUAAGUGUUGAUAACUGGUCCUUUAUUGGUCGUGGUCAUUCAUUCUUCUGCCAGGCGGGGCUGGUGUUCCUAUAUCCUCUCCUCACCAACAGAGCGUCUUAUGUUUAUUUGUUGGCAACGUGGCAGGUGAAACAUGUACCCUGUCAUUAAAAAAAAUUAUACUUGGCUGGGCACGGUGGCUCACACCUGUAAUCCCAGAGCUUGGGAAGCUGAGGUGGGUGGAUUGCUUGAGGCCCGGAGCUCGAGGCUAGCUUGGGCAGCACAACGAGACCCUGUUUCUACAAAAAAUACAAAAAUUAGUGGGGUGUAGUAGUGCACGCCUGUAGUCCCAGCUACUGGGGAGGCUGAGGUGGGAGGAUCACUUGAGCCUGUCUCAGAACAAACAAACAAACAAACAAAAAUAAGAAAAAAAUACAUAGUUUUAAAACAGUUUUAAACACAUUUGGGAAAAUAUAGGCAGUAGAAAUAGCAGUUGUGCUGUUAAUGCCUCAGACAGGGCUGGGCUCGUAGUAGGUGCUCAAUAAAUAUGUAUUAAGUAAGUGAAUAAGGAAGAAAAUCCCAUGGCUCUGCCAACAAGAAACACUUCUGUCAACAUUUCACUGUGUUUGUUUUCCUGAGUAUUUUUUCCUCUACAUAAUUUAGCUUUGUUUUCCAUUCAUUAUGCUCACCCGUGCAGACACAGUUUUUAAUCUUGUUUCUUUUUUUUCACUUCACGUUGUUGACAUGUGUGUUUCUCUCUUCUAAGCAGCGUUUCAGCAUCUCUAUAAAACCCUCACAGGUGAUCCCUAGAAACACAGCCAGUGGCCCGGAAGCUGCACUGUUUUGUGCACCGCAGGGAUGGGCACAGAUGGGGCUGCCUGCCCUCCUCCUGGAAGGAGGGAGAACCCAGUCUGGCCUGGAGUGGUCAAGAGCUAACUCUAGACUCAGCAAGACCUACUUCUCUCUCCUGCCCCUACUUCCUUGCUGCUGACCUGGGCAAGUCGCUGAAGCCUCUCCGUGCCUCAGUCUGCUCGUGCGUAAGAUGGGCACAGGGCACACUGCCUACUUGAUUGGGCUCAACCACGUGCAGUAAGUAGCUGGUGUCUGGCAAGAGCCCUCAGGAAACAGUAACCCCAUUAAUUCAAAUGCACGUGCCUGGAACAGGCUCUGGGGGGCCAGCCCGGGAGUCCCACUCCAUGAUGGCCACCCUGGGGCCUGGCAGGCUGGGCUGGCAUCCCAGGCCCACCGGAUACUGGCUGUGCACCCCGGCCAGGCCACACAUCUCUGAGCCUCACUUUCCCGUGUGUGAGAUGAGGCUAGAAGCUGCUUUCUCUUGCGUGUGUGGGGAUUGGCGGUGACAACACGGCCAGGAGCCCAGGCCCAGCCUACGCGAGCAGCCUCGCUCCAGGCCACACGCCCCACUCCUGACAGCUCUGUGCAGCGAGUUCGUGCGCGAGCGGGUGGCUGUCUGCCAGGCGAGGGGCGCGGGUGCCCAAGAGGGCUUCACUGCUUCUGGAAAGAUCACAAGGAAAAACCACCUCCGCGGCGGGACGCUACCCGCGGGCCGCUGCGGUCCCGCUCGCGGCCGGCAGGGGGCAGGAUGUCCCCGCGAGUCGCCCGUGUCUUCGGGUGUCCUCAGGUCACCCCGCACCGCUCGCAGCCUCCGCGCCUAGUUAAAGGGCGACGCACUCAUUUCUGCAAAGAAGGAGCCCAGCGGCCCCUCCCCGGGGAACUCUUUCCAUCAACUCGGGGCCUAAUAAUUUACAUUUAAUUUGUUAGCGGUUUAAUGUUUAAUUUUAAAAGCGAGAUGAUUCAUUACCAUAUUAAUAAAUAAUAACAUUUAUUAUUCUCCUAAUGAGUGUCCAAAAUACAGAAGCAAUUACAUGUUUUAUAUAUUUUCUCGUAAUUUGAGACACCAGAGCGUUAAUUACAGAGACUCACGCGUGGACCCCAUUCUGAUCCAGGGUCCUGAUCCUGCCUUUGUUUCGGUCUCUGAACCAGCCGCCCUCCGGGGCUUCUGCAAUUCCCUCAAUUAGAGGAGAGGAAGUCGUACGUGACGAAGCUGGGGCUCUCACAGAACCCCGGCGCCCCAGACCCAGGAGCUGCAAGACCUCAGCUCCCCGUGCCCACACUCGGAGACCCAGGCCCCUCCCAGUCCCCCGUCUCCUCUGUGCAGGGUUCUUCAGGAAGAAUCGGAAAGAGGCCCCCCGACCCACAACCAGCCUCGCAUUCCCUCCUCCCGCAGGGAUCCAUUGAGCUGGGGGGUGGGACUAUCCUCACUUCACAGAUGGGGAAACUGAGUCCUGGAGAGAGACGCUCCGGUGUCCUCAGCUGGUGAGGGGCAGAUCCGGGAGCCACGUCCCACGCAGUCGGUUGGCCCCAAGCUUGGUUCCUGCCUCAACCCCAGCGCAGGUUGCAGCAGGCCCGCGUAGGAGGGCGGCCUGGGUCUGGACAGAUCCACAGCCGGCCAACGCCCCUGGCUAGCUCUCUAUGGCUUUGCUUCUUCUCUUGACUUGCCAAGUUCUUCUUGUUCAUUGUAGAAAAUGUGGAAGGUGAGGCCGGGAGCGGUGGCUCACGCCUGUAAUCCUAGCACUUUGGGAGGCCGAGGCGGGCAGAUUGCCUGAGCUCAGGAGUUCGAGACCAGCCUGGGCAACAUGGUGAAACACGUCUCUACUAAAAAAAAAAAAAAAAAAAAAAAAAAAAUUUGCUGGGCGUGACGGCAGGCGCCUGUAGUCCCAGUGGGAGUUUGGGGAGGCUGAGGCAGGAGAAUCACUUGAACCCGGGAAGCAGAGAUUGCAGUGAGCCGAGAUCGUGCCACUGCACUCCAAUCUAGCGACAGAGCAAGACUCCGUCUCAAAAAAAAAAAAAAAAAAAAAAGUGGAAGGUGAAAAAAACACGGAGAGACAGCAAAGCUGGCAAUGACAUAGCUCCAAAAAUCCCACUUCUCAGAUAAGAUGCAGGCAGUAAGGGCCUGGAGUUUUAUGUAUCCUGAUGUUUGAAAGGGCUUGGACAGGGCACUUCCUCCCUCCAUAGCUCUUCUGUCCUUAGGAAUCCCUCCCUUCUGGAGGGGAAGGGUGGGGGUUUUCCUGUUUGGUCCCCAGGGAAGGAAGUUCAGAGACAGAGGCCCACUCAGGGCCACCCCCUGGCCUGCACCCCUGAAAUGCAAUUUGGAUAAUAUGGAAAAUUACUAGGAAGAAAAAACGCUAUAAUCCCCCCACCUAGAGAUAACCAGGCGUUCUGGUAUAUACCUAUUGAGGACUUUUUUCCCAAGCAAAUACUCAGAAAGAGACUUCCUCCCAAUAGGCAUGAGAUCUUACUCCACGUGCAGUUUGUCUUAUCUUGAUUUUUUUCCAGUAAUCUUUUAAGAGUUUCCCAUGCCAUGUAGUCAUUCUUCAAAAACCCACUUUGAACAGCUGCGUAAUAUUCCGCUGUGGAGGAGUGCCCUGCAGUGUAGAGAAAUGAGUUAUUUACGCUGAAGUCUGUUAUUACAUGGACAUCUUCCCUUUUCUGACCCUGCAAUGACCACACUCAUAGGUGAGUCUCUCUGGAAAUCCUUGACUACCUCCUUAGGGUCCAUUCUUAGAAGUGGAAUUACUGGGUUAGAGGGCAUGAGUGCCUUGAGGGCGGCUGUCUCCCUCUACCUGCAUGCCUGCCAGGGCAAACCCGUGCAUGCUCCCAGGACAGGCCUGGCAGGGCGUGUCUCCCUGCUGCACCCUUGGUACCCUUGGCAGGGCUAACAUUAUCCUCUAAACCAGGUCUUUGCAGCACUUACCCUUUUCAAGGUGCUACUGUACCUCUCCUUUAAGGAG
rnacentral:lncRNA from 1 species